rnacentral:rRNA from 1 species
UGGGGAAUAUUGGACAAUGGGCGAAAGCCUGAUCCAGCCAUGCCGCGUGUGUGAAGAAGGUCUUCGGAUUGUACAGCACUUUAAGUUGGGAGGAAGGGCAUUAACCUAAUACGUUAGUGUUUUGACGUUACCGACAGAAUAAGAACCGGCUAACUCUGUGCCAGCAGCCGCGGUAAUACAGAGGGUGCAAGCGUUAAUCGGAAUUACUGGGCGUAAAGCGCGCGUAGGUGGUUUGUUAAGUUGGAUGUGAAAUCCCCGGGCUCAACCUGGGAACUGCAUUCAAAACUGACUGACUAGAGUAUGGUAGAGGGUGGUGGAAUUUCCUGUGUAGCGGUGAAAUGCGUAGAUAUAGGAAGGAACACCAGUGGCGAAGGCGACCACCUGGACUAAUACUGACACUGAGGUGCGAAAGCGUGGGGAGCAAACA